rnacentral:tRNA from 1 species
GCCUCCUUAGCUCAGUCGGUAGAGCAAUGGACUUUUAAUCCAUUGGUCAUGGGUUCGAGUCCCAUAGGGGGUG